UACGUAGGGUGCAAGCGUUGUCCGGAAUUAUUGGGCGUAAAGAGCUCGUAGGCGGUCAGUCGCGUCUGCUGUGAAAACUCGGGGCUUAACUCCGGGCCUGCAGUGGGUACGGGCUGACUAGAGUGCGGUAGGGGAGACUGGAAUUCCUGGUGUAGCGGUGAAAUGCGUAGAGAUCGGGAGGAACAUCCAUGGCGAAGGCGAUCACCUGGGGUUGUUCUGACGCUGAGGAGCGAAAGCUAGGGGAGCAAACGGG
rnacentral:rRNA from 1 species